AGAGUUUGAUCCUGGCUCAGAUUGAACGCUGGCGGUUUGCUUAACACAUGCAAGUCGAACGGUAACAGCAAGAGCUUGCUCUUGGCUGACGAGUGGCGGACGGGUGAGUAACGCGUGGGAAUCUACCCAGAAGUUCGGGACAACCUGGUGAAAACCAGGCUAAUACCGAAUAAUAUCUACGGAUGAAAGGAGGGGAUCUUCGGACCUUUCGCUUUUGGAUGAGCCCGCGUUAGAUUAGCUAGUUGGUGGGGUAAAGGCCUACCAAGGCGACGAUCUAUAGCUGGUCUGAGAGGACGAUCAGCCACACUGGGACUGAGACACGGCCCAGACUCCUACGGGAGGCAGCAGUGGGGAAUAUUGGACAAUGGGGGCAACCCUGAUCCAGCAAUACCGCGUGUGUGAAGAAGGCCUGCGGGUUGUAAAGCACUUUCAAUUGUGAAGAAAAGAUUCAGGUUAAUAACCUGAGUCCUUGACGUUAACUUUAGAAGAAGCACCGGCUAACUCCGUGCCAGCAGCCGCGGUAAUACGGAGGGUGCGAGCGUUAAUCGGAAUUACUGGGCGUAAAGCGUGCGUAGGCGGUUAUUUAAGUCAGAUGUGAAAGCCCCGGGCUCAACCUGGGAACUGCAUUUGAAACUGGAUAACUCGAGUUUGGUAGAGGUGAGUAGAAUUCCUAGUGUAGCGGUGAAAUGCGUAGAUAUUAGGAGGAAUACCAGUGGCGAAGGCGGCUCACUGGACCAAAACUGACGCUGAGGCACGAAAGCGUGGGGAGCGAACGGGAUUAGAUACCCCGGUAGUCCACGCCGUAAACGAUGUCAACUAGUCGUUGGGCCUUUCGGGGCUUAGUGACGCAGCUAACGCGUGAAGUUGACCGCCUGGGGAGUACGGCCGCAAGGCUAAAACUCAAAUGAAUUGACGG
rnacentral:rRNA from 1 species